UUCCUGGGGUGGAGCCGAAGUGU
rnacentral:piRNA from 1 species